AGGCCCUUCGGGGUACACGAGCGGCGAACGGGUGAGUAACACGUGGGUAACCUGCCCUGUACUCUGGGAUAAGCCUUGGAAACGAGGUCUAAUACCGGAUACGACCACGGGAUGCAUGUCUUGUGGUGGAAAGUUCCGGCGGUAUGGGAUGGACCCGCGGCCUAUCAGCUUGUUGGUGGGGUAAUGGCCUACCAAGGCGACGACGGGUAGCCGGCCUGAGAGGGUGACCGGCCACACUGGGACUGAGACACGGCCCAGACUCCUACGGGAGGCAGCAGUGGGGAAUAUUGCACAAUGGGCGAAAGCCUGAUGCAGCGACGCCGCGUGAGGGAUGACGGCCUUCGGG
rnacentral:rRNA from 1 species